ACUGAGAUCGAUUGGUGCAUAGAUAACGCCCAAAAAGUCAUUUUAUUUCAAUUCUAGCACCAUUCGAAAUCAGUGCU
rnacentral:pre_miRNA from 1 species